rnacentral:sRNA from 1 species
UAGUUGUGUGGCGGCAUAAAAAUGAUGA